GACGAACGCUGGCGGCGUGCUUAACACAUGCAAGUCGAACGCGAUUUUUGUGGAAAUUCUUUCGGGAAUGGAAAUGAAAUGAAAGUGGCGAACGGGUGAGUAACACGUGAGCAACCUACCUUACACAGGGGGAUAGCCGUUGGAAACGACGAUUAAUACCGCAUGAGACCACAGAAUCGCAUGAUAUAGGGGUCAAAGAUUUAUCGGUGUAAGAAGGGCUCGCGUCUGAUUAGCUAGUUGGAAGGGUAAAGGCCUACCAAGGCGACGAUCAGUAGCCGGUGUGAGAGGAUGAACGGCCACAUUGGAACUGAGACACGGUCCAAACUCCUACGGGAGGCAGCAGUGGGGAAUAUUGCACAAUGGGGGGAACCCUGACGCAGCGACGCCGCGUGAGCGAAGAAGGUUUUCGAAUCGUAAAGCUCUGUCCUAUGAGAAGAUAAUGACGGUAGCAUAGGAGGAAGCCCCGGCUAAAUACGUG
rnacentral:rRNA from 1 species